UCGGUACUACCGAUUGAAUGGCUUAGUGAGAUCUCCGGACCGGCCGAUAACGAGCUGCAAAGCUUGUCUUUGGCGGAAAGCUGCUCAAACUUGGUCAUUUAGAGGAAGUAA
rnacentral:rRNA from 1 species